rnacentral:rRNA from 1 species
UGGCGAAAAAGACUGAUUCAAGAAAAUAUGCCAGCAUUCAGAUUUAAAAUGUGUCGUCUACUUCCAGGAAAUGUUCGGAAUAGAGAACUUUCUCUAAUCCAACGUCGUAUUCUCCGAAGAUUGAGGAACAAGAGGAGAUCCAUUAAAAGAAAUCUUUGUCGGAGAGAAAAUCAAAACAGUAACAUCAAAUCACAAACUACACGAAAGUUGUCUCUUUAUUAUGGGGAUUUACCCAUAAGGGAGAUGCACAGAGGAAGAGAACGAACUUCAUAUAUCCCUUUUUUACUCAAUCAAGAAACAAGAUCGGACGUGAUUCCGGUUCGUCUACAUUUUAGUGACACUCUUCCUCAAGCAAGGCAGCCGAUAAGUCAUCGAAGGGUUUGUUUGAAUAAUGGACUGGUAACCAUUACUCAUUUGAAAGUUUCCCACGGUGAUCUAAAAUCUUUAAAGAAAAUGACGCGAGAACCCACGGUUUUGAAAUAA